UUCUGGAUGAUAUCUGAAUCAUGCCUAAAGGUGCCAGCUGCAGAGGCAAGGAAAGAAGCGGACCACUACAUCAAGCUGAAGUUAGAUAAAGAUGGCUGUGAAGUAAAGCAUAUAAAUGAUGUUAUUGGGAAAGGAGUUUUUGCCAAGAAGGAUUAUAAAAAAGGGGAGUUCAUUUUGGAAUAUGAUGGUGAACUUAU